UCUUAUAGGGUAACUUCACUCCAUUACAUGCAGCAGCUAUUGAGAACAAGAUUAAUGCUGUCCAGUGGUUACUCAGUAAGGGGGCUACUGUUGACUCAAGAGAUGAUUUAUAGCUGUGAAUAAACGACUGACAAUUUGAGAGCACUUUGUAUCAUGCUUAUCUAGCAGAAUCUUUUCAAAGAGAUGAUAUAGACUUGUCAUUCCUUUAGGAUACACCAUAUCAAAAAUAAAAAAAGCAGAAAGCAUGGUGAAUUGAAACUUGUAUCUUUUGCUGCAACAGUGGGACUUAAACUAACCUAGUUUUAAAUUAAAAUGAUUGAUUUAUUGUAAUAAUAAGAGUUUAAUUUUGUGGUCAGGAACAAGAAAAGGUAAUAGCUUCAAAAGUCCAGCUGUAACUUUAUCAGCACUAUCUAUAAUGAU